rnacentral:rRNA from 1 species
CGACGUGAGGAACCUGCCUUGGAGUGGGGAAUAACAGCCAGAAAUGGCUGCUAAUACCGCAUAAUGCAGUUGGGUCGCAUGGCUCUGACUGCCAAAGAUUUAUCGCUCUAAGAUGGCCUCGCGUCUGAUUAGCUAGUAGGCGGGGUAACGGCCCACCUAGGCGACGAUCAGUAGCCGGACUGAGAGGUUGACCGGCCACAUUGGGACUGAGAUACGGACCAGACUCCUACGGGAGGCAGCAG